AUUGAACGCUGGCGGCAGGCCUAACACAUGCAAGUCGAACGAGUGGCGGACGGGUGAGUAAUGUCUGGGAAACUGCCUGAUGGAGGGGGAUAACUACUGGAAACGGUAGCUAAUACCGCAUACCAUCAGAGGUGCCCACAUGGGAGUGGCUUGUUGGUGGGGUAACGGCUCACCAAGGCGACGCUCCCCAGCUGGUCUGAGAGGAUGACCAGCCACACUGGAACUGGGACACGGUCCAGACUCCUCCGUGAGGCAGCAGUGGGGAAGAUUGGACAAUGGGCGCAAGCCUGAUCCAGCCAUGCCGCGUGUGUGAAGAAGGCCUUCGGGUUGUAAAGUACUUGCAGCGGGGAGGCGUUACCCGCAGAAUAAGCACCGGCUAACUCCGUGCCAGCAGCCGCGGUAAUUC
rnacentral:rRNA from 1 species